AAUCAACGCUGGCGGCGUGCCUCAGACAUGCAAGUCGAACGCUGCUGUUCGCCUUCGGGUGGACAGCGGAGUGGCGCACGGGUGAGUAACACGUAGGUAAUCUACCUUUGGGUGGGAGUAACAGCCGGAACGGCUGCUAAUACCGCAUAAUGCAGCGGCAUCACAUGAUGACAGUUGUUAAAGACGAGGGAGUCGUAAGAACCUCGCGCCUGAAGAGGAGCCUGCGGCAGAUUAGGUAGGUUGGUGAGGUAAUGGCUCACCAAGCCUGCGAUCUGUAACCGG
rnacentral:rRNA from 1 species